CAAGCUGAAGAACUAAAGGUUCGAAGUGAAGAGAGGUGAAGAUAGCUGAAGAAGUAGUUCUCUUUUCUGAUACAAGCUAAAGAUUCGAUGAACUGAGCUGAAGAGUUGAACGAUUCCUUGAAGAGUAAGAACGAUUUCUUUAAGAAAGAAAUGAAUAUUGUUGGGUUGUUGACAUGAUGAUGAACUGAAGCUAAUUAGUCUCUCCGUCACACUUUUCUCUCAAGUGUCUCACUGAAGAACACGAUUUCAAAGAGAUUUUGUUGGAUUUGGGUUUA